UAGGGAAUCUUCGGCAAUGGGGGCAACCCUGACCGAGCAACGCCGCGUGAGUGAAGAAGGUUUUCGGAUCGUAAAGCUCUGUUGUAAGUCAAGAACGAGUGUGAGAGUGGAAAGUUCACACUGUGACGGUAGCUUACCAGAAAGGGACGGUUAACUACGUGCCAGCAGCCGCGGUAAUACGUAGGUCCCGAGCGUUGUCCGGAUUUAUUGGGCGUAAAGCGAGCGCAGGCGGUUUGGUAAGUCUGAAGUUAAAGGCUGUGGCUCAACCAUAGUUCGCUUUGGAAACUGUCAAACUUGAGUGCAGAAGGGGAGAGUGGAAUUCCAUGUGUAGCGGUGAAAUGCGUAGAUAUAUGGAGGAACACCGGUGGCGAAAGCGGCUCUCUGGUCUGUAACUGACGCUGAGGCUCGAAAGCGUGGGGAGCAAACAGGGUUAGAUACCCUGGUAGUCCACACCGUAAACGAUGAAUACUAGGUGUUAGGAGGUUUCCGCCUCUUAGUGCCGAGGUUAACGCAUUAAGUAUUCCGCCUGGGGAGUACGACCGCAAGGUUG
rnacentral:rRNA from 1 species